GUCUCAGGUAGAGGGGGUGGGAGCAAGUGGGGAGCCGUGUGCACUCUGCAGGAAGCGAGAGAGACGAGAGCUGAACAGUGUCGAGUGAACGCAGAGUUCCUAGAAGGGCGACAGACAUAUUUUCGGAUUGACGGAUAGUUAACUGGAGUGAAAAGCUGUUGUACCCUACUGUGAGUAGGAGGAGACGGACGUCUUGCUGGCGUGUCAGAGAGGUCCCUUCUACUGGUGUGCUGAAGUUAUGUGUUCACGUGGAGAGGACGACUGAGUGCUGCUGCCGCGGCCUGCUGGUAGCCUUGACCCACUUUCCCCUGCUAUCCCCUUGAACUGCCUGGAGGUUUUUAGGCAUUACGCUGACUGAUGGAUGAAGAAUUCCCGUUGGAUUGUUCCCAUCACGACCCAGGUGAUCAGUCUCUUGAUAGCUUUUCCUCUGGUUCCUGCUCUCUGCUGACACUCCUAGCUCUAGCCACGUUCUCCAUUCUCUCUCUUUAAACAAAGUCUUAUAAAUAGUUUAACCAUGUGCAUUGAAUCUGCAUUUGGGUCUAAGCCUUCUAUGGAGGGAAUAUCUCUACACAGUGACAUCCAUUCAAUUUUCAAUUCAAUUCAAUUUUAUUUAUAGAGCGCCAAAUCACAGCAACAGUCUCCUCAAG